rnacentral:lncRNA from 1 species
CCCAAAGCUUGAGUAACCAUUCGUCAAAGUCCACAAAUGGUUCUUCUGUCGCCGCUGUCGGAGAGCCACCGGUUACCAUAAGCUGGAAUCUUCCCCGGCAAAAUCUCAAAGCGGAAAGAAACACUGAAACAGCGGGAUCUCCUCUCUGCACGAUGCAUCCGGCAUUUCUCAGCGGUCAUUUUCCGGCGGAGGAGGGGAAUUUGGGCACCAUCGUCGUGAAUCCUCCUCCAUCGGAGCGGGGCGCUUCUGAACGCUUCAUUUUUCUAACUACAUAUCUGUUUAAUUCUAGCUUUAAUUACCAUUUGAAAGUUAAUUGUUGGAUCUAGUUUGUUAUAUAAUUAUUUGAUAAUGAUUAAGAAAAGGUUUGUAUACACUUUUGAUACGAUCUGAAGAAAACGGGGAUAAGGUUUUGGGUUGAUUUGGAGAGAGCGCCUAUUUGAAAAUGUGAUGGAUUGAAUUGAAAAAUAUAAAAAAAA